GCGCGGCCCUCGCUUCCAGCCGCCUCGUUAGCGCAGUAGGUAGCGCGUCAGUCUCAUAAUCUGAAGGUCGUGAGUUCGAUCCUCACACGGGGCAGCGGUUGCUUUUUUUCCCACGCCCUCCUAACGCUGGUCUGAGCUCGGUCUCUGGGUUUCAGAAGCCCCGUGAGGCCCGGGGCCGCAGGGUUAUUGCGAGGAGGGGGCUACAAGGCCGAAGCACUUAGCUGAGCCCCCCCGCCCCCCAGUGUUGGGCUACAAAAUCCCACUUCUAAACCCCUGCAGGUGGAAGGGGCCCAGGCUGGGUUGUGUCUUGGGGGGGGGGGGGGGGGGUGCACCCUGCUGCAGCCGCACCCUGCAUCUGUCAGUCACCCAACACGCUGAAGUGAGCCCACCCUCUGCCCCCCACCGUGCUGGUCCACGCCUCCCCUCCGGCUGUAUCCGUCCCAGCCCCCACAUCAUGCCGUUGGCCGGCCAGGCCCCACACGCCAAGGAGACGUUUGCCCUUCCUGUGGGAGGCAUGGCGGGGCGGGGAGGAGAGUAGUGCAUGUGGUGAAGUGAGUGACAGGAAUGGGCAGAGAGGCAGGGGUGGUGGGGGAUUUUAGCAGCUGUAUACUGACUGGGCUGAGGGGAGCAGCAGCUAGAUCGGGGUGGGCAAACUUUUUGGCCCGAGGGCCACAUCUGGGUAUGGAAAUUGUAGGGCAGGCCAUGAAUGCUUACCAAACUGGGGGUUGGGGUGAGGGCUCCGGCUGAGGGUGCAGGCUCUGGGGUGGGGCCAGAAAUGAGGAGUUCAGGGUGUGGGAGGGGACUCUGGGCUGGGGCAGGGGGUUGGAGUGUGUGUGGGGGGGUGAGGGGCUCUGGGGUGGGGCUGGGGAUUAGGGGUUGGGGGUGCAGGAGGGUGUUUUGGGCUGAGACUAAGGGAUUCAGAGAGUGGGAGGGGGUCAGGGGUUCAGGCUCUGGGCAGCGCUUGCCUCAAGCAGCUCCCAGAAGCAGCGGCAUGUCCCCCCCUUCAGCUCCUAAGCAGAGGCAUAGCCAGGCGCCUCUGCACGCUGCCCUGUCCGUAGGCGCCGCCCCUGCAGCUCCCAUUGGCCACAGUUCCCAGCCAAUGGGAGCUGUGGGGCCGGCUCUUGGGGGGGGGCAGUGUGCAGAGUCAUCUGGCUGCCCCUACGCGUAGAAGCCGGAGGGAGAACAUGUCGCUGCUUCUGGGAGCUGCACGGCAUGGGGCAAGCCCCGGACCCCGCUCCCCCAGCGGGAGCUUGAGGGCUGGAUAAAAACAUCUGGAGGGCCGGAUGCAGCCCCUGGGCCACAGUUUGCCCAUCCCUGAGGUAGAUGGUAGCUGCAGGAAUCAAAAGAACAGAUGACCGAGCAGGGAGCAGGGGAGUUGGAGCCUGGGGAUGGGAGAGUAAAAGCCAUUACAUUGGUAGGCCAUUUGGGGUAUUGACAAUUGUUAAAAUCCUGGCUUCAUUCAAAUUAUGGUUAGGUUUGCCUUUGCUGUCUCUGGGGUUAGGAUUUCACCUGGUGUCUUGUGGGGUGUUUUGCCUGCAAAGUGCUAUACACAACUAUAAUGCUAUAUUUAUUAUUAUUUGUAUUGCCAUAGCAUCACAUGAACCAGGAUCCCACUGUGCUAGGCCCACCAACACAGAAUAAAAAGCUGGUCCCAGCAUUAAUAAAGGCAUUUGAUGCUGAAAAAAAAUAGCUGUUGGGCUCUUCCUACCAAAUUCCUGGUUGGUUUUGCUUACAUCAAACCUUCGGGGGGAGGUCGAGGAGCGAUGAAUGUGUCAGAGAGAUCCUGGACUUGGGUCUCCCCUGGAGCAUAAGGUGGGACAAUUUUUGUUUAUUUCUAUAGCAAAUGAGACCACAUGAAGAUGACCACACCUUUGAAAAACUGUCUGAAUGGUAGGCUUUUAUAGUCCAUGUGUGAGCUUCUCAAAACUUCCUGCUCAGGUGAUUUGUUAGUGUUCUGUAGUCUGGUAGGUGCACAGUUGUCUGGCUGGUAACAGAUGCACCAACACCACAAGCAGAUUGCUGCCUGACGGGUUGACAGUUUUUCUCCUUGUCUAUUCACUUAGAACAUCACCAUGUGUUGUCUGUUGGCAGCCUCACUCUUGUGCCUUGGAUGAAAGGUAGCGUAUGCCUAUACUUUGAGCUGGGGAUGUGAUUGUCAGCACGAGAGUCCCCCAUGAUAGCUCUGAUUGAACUCGUGUGCUAAAAAAUAGAGUGCAUCCAGGGUGGGGAGGGCGGCUAGUUGCCCUGUGAACAUGCCAGUGUCUUGGAUGGGUACGAAUUCUGGUCAGCCAGCCCCUCCCACUCCUGGGGUUGAUGCGACUAGUUUAUUUUUAGGAUGCUAGCUUGAUAGUUAGCCAACACCUCAGCCAGAUGUCAACAAAACCAAAUGGACUACCAUCUGUUUAAGCAGCCAUUCUUUGACAGGAGAAAGGGUGUGAGAAAUUUACAUAUUGGCAAAGAAACAGAUGCAGGCUUCCAUCCUCACAGAUUUUUGUCUCCUAAAUCCCAGUUGGAAAUGAUUCUCAAGGAAGAGAAAAAGGUAUAAGAAUGGGAAACAGAUGCCCCAAGUUAUUCCUCCCUUUCUCUUUACCCACAGCAGACACAACACCUGAGGAACAAAGAAACAGCUUUGGAUCUUGUCUGAAAGGAAUUCAGCCAGUAAGACUGCUGAAGCAUGGGGGACAUCAGCUCAGGAGCCCUUUAAAGAGUGUAAUGCAGCAGCUGCCUUGCUGAUGAAGAGAUUACAAUCCUCAAAAGGGAGAUUGUCUGUACUUCAUAUGUCUUUGGGGAGCCCCGAGGAUUGCAACCACGAUGCCCAUAUCAUUGUCACUGCUGUUGUCCUUGAUCUCUUCGCAGGACCUGACAUAUCAAUCAUCGCCUCUUCUACAUGAUGUUCCAACUCCUAUACUGGGCAAAAUCCACAUUUGGGAUUAAAUCAUUUUAGCACCAUCAAAAUCAAGUGAGCAACAGAUGAUUUACAGGAGCUAAGGAUCUGGCCACUAUAUCUAGUUUUACUUUUAGAUCACCUUUGCCUCAUUUGGAAUGCACCAUAACAACGGCUAUACUGGAUUAGAUCUAUAGUCCAUCUACCUCAGUAUCCUGUCUUCCAACAGUGGCUGGUGCCAGAUGCUUCAGAGGGAAUGAACAGAACAGGGCAAUUUAUCGAGUGAGCCGUCAUCCAGUCCUAACUUCUGGCAGUCAGAGGUUUAGGGACACCCAGAGAAUGGGGUUGCAUCCCUGACUUUCUUGGCUAAUAGCCACUGAUGGACCGAUUCUCCAUGAAUUUAUCUAAUUCUUUUUUGAACCCAGUUAUACUUUUGGCCUUCACGACUUCUCUUUGGCAAGGAGUUCCACGGGUUGACUGUACCAGAUAACAGACAGAUGGAAAACAUUAAAAUGAUUACAAAAGAGGCUCCCAUUGAACACUAUUGACAAAUAAAUCAUUUUAACAGUGCUUUGAUUUUUCAGGGAAUUGGUGUAAUCAGAAUAUGCCUUGUACUCAAAUAUUGACUAUUCAGUGGUUCAGCAAUAAAAAAAAGUAGGUUUAUUUUUAAAAAAAA